ACCAGGUAACAUCAUUACCACUUCGGGGCCCCUUGCCGAUGGACAUCACCCGAAACCUCUACCUCUGAUGUCUUCCUUCUACAUCAACUGAUCAACUGAUCUCCUGAAUCUCGGAGGCCUCUGCCUUUUGAAUCUGACCCAGUAAUGGAAGAAAUCAUUCAUCGUUCAGCAAGAGGAGGAAAGAGGGAAGAGGAAGAAAAAACACAACAAGACCCGGCAACACAAUGGGCCUCUAGUGCUGGUCUGUCUACUGAAAUGGUGCCUGGCUGAUGACUGGGAGGGAUCAGGGCAUGUCUGUGGGAUUUGCCUUUCAUGGGGCCUUGAAUGACCCGAGAGAGACUGGAUGUGGCUCUCUCUUGGGCUCCAAGGGGAAAUUUGAGAUAUGUCCCCCUCUACUUUCUCCUUUUACAACUCCUGACUUAAAAAAACAAUUACUGCUCUAUUCACAACGGAAAAGUGAAGGGAGACGAGGAACUAGGCGGCUCCCACCUGGUACUCUACCCUGCACCUUAGAGACAGCUGUACAUAGAGUCAUUGAAAACUGGUAACAUUAAUGUUUACAUACUGUUUUACCCACUCUAUAUGUAUAUACUGUAUUUUAGUCAUGGAUCAUCCUAUAUAACUACUGUUGUACGCAUCUUUUCUAUUCAUAUGCUGUCUAACACACUACAUUAUAUGCAUACUGUAUACAGUACCAGUCAAAAGUUUAGACACACCUACUCAUGCAAGGGUUUUUCUUUCUAUUUACUAUCUUCUACAUUGUAAAAUAAUAAUGAAGACAUCCAAACUAUGAAAUAACACAUAC